rnacentral:rRNA from 1 species
CCUACGGGUGGCUGCAGUGGGGAAUAUUGGACAAUGGGCGAAAGCCUGAUCCAGCCAUGCCGCGUGUGUGAAGAAGGCCUUCGGGUUGUAAAGCACUUUCAGUGGGGAAGAAAGCCUUGGGGCUAAUACCCUCGAGGAAGGACAUCACCCACAGAAGAAGCACCGGCUAACUCCGUGCCAGCAGCCGCGGUAAUACGGAGGGUGCGAGCGUUAAUCGGAAUUACUGGGCGUAACGGCGCGUAGGCGGUCUGAUAAGCCGGUUGUGAAAGCCCCGGGCUCAACCUGGGAACGGCAUCCGGAACUGUCAGGCUAGAGUGCAGGAGAGGAAGGUAGAAUUCCCGGUGUAGCGGUGAAAUGCGUAGAGAUCGGGAGGAAUACCAGUGGCGAAGGCGGCCUUCUGGACUGACACUGACGCAGGGGUGCGAAAGCGUGGGUAGCAAACAGGAUUAGAUACCCCAGUAGUC